GGGGAAUAUUGGACAAUGGACGAAAGUCUGAUCCAGCGACGCCGCGUGGAGGAAGAAGUCCUUCGGGAUGUAAACUCAUGAAGCUAACGAAUAAGACGGAAGGGGAACCUUCCGGGAGAAGGUAAUUAGUGAAAAGCCCCGGCUAACUACGUGCCAGCAGCCGCGGUAAUACGUAGGGUGCGAGCGUUAAUCGGAAUUACUGGGCGUAAAGCGUGCGCAGGCGGUUUCGUAAGACAGACGUGAAAUCCCCGGGCUCAACCUGGGAACUGCGUUUGUGACUGCGAGGCUAGAGUACGGCAGAGGGGGGUAGAAUUCCACGUGUAGCAGUGAAAUGCGUAGAGAUGUGGAGGAAUACCGAUGGCGAAGGCAGCCCCCUGGGUUAGUACUGACGCUCAUGCACGAAAGCGUGGGGAGCAAACA
rnacentral:rRNA from 1 species